GGGCACCAGCCUGCCCAGAGGCCUCUGUAGACGUGAGCCCCACGGGGAGAGGCAGCCUUGGCUGAGCUCCCUGAGCUCCACGUGGAAGGUGGAUGGCUGCUCGGCUGCCGUUCCCCAGCCCUCCCCAUCCAGUCCUGACUUGGAUUCACAUCUCCUCUGGCAGCAGCUGGCUGCUCUUGCUGCAAGGUGGGAAAGGGAGAUCAGCUUCGCCCACAGCGUGAAGUAGCGGGAAGUGUGCUGGUGCUUCUGUGGCUGGCAGAGGUCUUGGGAGGGAGCUGCCUUGCUGUGUGUUUUGGCCAGAUAGUUUUGCCUCUCUGGGCUCAUCAGUAAACAGAGACAGAGGGCUAGAGCGCUGGCGAAAGUUUUUCUGGUCCUUCCCAGGGAGGGCAGCCCACUCCUGGGGGGAGGAGGGGCACCCCAGAAGGAAACUCAUCUCUAACUUGGAUGCUUAUUCUGAGAUCUGAGUCUGGGUCAAGCAGGGCCCACACCCAGCCCUGCAACCCUGAGAGCAUUUAAAAAGACCCGAGUGACCAGCUGGGGUCCCCUUGAGCCUUGGUUCCCUUGGUCCUUCCUUGAGGAGGGCUGAAGCCCAGCUUUACAAAUGGGGCUGGAAGUUGGGACCGGCCUGAGUUGUCUAGGAGUUAGCGUUUGCUCUAAAUAGAAUCAUACUGUCCCCUAUUUAGUAGAAUGCAAAUAAAAGUGGCAAUACUGUCUUUCUUAUGAAUGACCUGGCACUGCUAUUCAGGUUAUCUAUUCCAUUCUUACAAUAACCCAAAGAGGUGGGAGUGACAUUAUCAUUCUUCUAUAGAGUGACAACACUGAGGCAGAGAGGUUAAGUAACUUACCCAGAGUCACACAGCUGAGACACUUGGCAGAACAGAACUUGAGCCCGGGCCUAUCAGAGCUAGAGUUCAGGAGAUAACCUCUAGGCUACACUGCCUCUUCUCACCGUAAUCGUAGAAGUCCUGGAGGGACGUUUACUGAACAGCUCUGCCUCGGAGUCCUUUGCUGGAGGCUGAGCUGGAAAAAAUGAUGAGAAGACUCGAGAGCCCUCUCACACACGAUUUCAGGUCAUAGUAAGAGGACCUCAGGAGAAUCGAUUCUGUUAUCACAGAAGUAAGAGCAGGUACUGCCCCUGCCCUGCCUUGACUCCAGCCGCCACCGGCCACGUCCAUCAUGCCUGCAGGAGGGAGAUGGCAGCCCUGGGACCUGGCACCAUGGCAUAGAGGAAGGUCUGCAGCUGGGUCAGGAAACUGAGGGUCCUUGGGGGACAGACAAGGACAGGCUGGGCUCCCAGCCACCCCAAUAGGCUCAUUUACGAACCCACAUGACAGAACCCUGUAAGUUGUUAACUCAUGAAAAAGACACUUCUAAGGGGUGACAGCCCGGCUCUGCCGUCCACUGACCUGUGUUCCCGUAGGGAGCUGAUAGCUGGUUCUUUGCUUACAACAAGAACUUUGAUUUUACCCAAGGACUUGAUCUGGGUUGGCUUUGCAGAAGGACCUGCAGCUUCAGUCAGUAAAGGGAUUUGAUCUUCAAAACCAGA